rnacentral:rRNA from 1 species
GAUGAACGCUGGCGGCGUGCCUAAUACAUGCAAGUCGAGCGAACAGACGAGGAGCUUGCUCCUCUGACGUUAGCGGCGGACGGGUGAGUAACACGUGGAUAACCUACCUAUAAGACUGGGAUCACUUCGGGAAACCGGAGCUAAUAGCGGAUAAUCUAUUGAACCGCAUGGUUCGAUGGUGAAAUACGGUUUUGCUGUCACUUCUCGAGGGAUCCGCGCCGCAUUAGGUAGUUGGUAAGGUAACGGCUUACCAAGGCAACGAUGCGUAGCCGACCUGAGGGGGUGAUCGGCCACACUGGAACUGAGACACGGUCCAGACUCCUACGGGAGGCAGCAGUAGGGAAUCUUCCGCAAUGGGCGAAAGCCUGACGGAGCAACGCCGCGUGAGUGAUGAAGGUCUUCGGAUCGUAAAACUCUGUUAUUAGGGAAGAACAAAUGUGUAAGUAACUAUGCACGUCUUGACGGUACCUAAUCAGAAAGCCACGGCUAACUACGUG